rnacentral:rRNA from 1 species
AGUUAACCUAACCUAUGGAUGGGGAUAACCUCGGGAAACUGAGAAUAAUCCCCGAUAGACCACAAUGCCUGGAAUGGUUUGUGGUUGAAAUGAUUUAUCGCCGUAGGAUGGGACUGCGGCCUAUCAGCUAGUUGGUGAGGUAAUGGCCCACCAAGGCUAUAACAGGUACGGGCUCUGAGAGGAGGGGCCCGGAGAUGGGUACUGAGACACGGACCCAGGCCCUAUGGGGCGCAGCAGGCGAGAAACCUUUGCAAUGUGCGAAAGCACGACAAGGUUAAUCCGAGUGUCUUCUGCUAAAGAAGUCUUUUGUUAGUCAUAGAACCACUGAUGAAUAAGGGGUGGGCAAGUUCUGGUGUCAGCCGCCGCGGUAAAACCAGCACCUCGAGUGGUCAGGAGGUUUAUUGGGCCUAAAGCAUCCGUAGCCGGUUGUUUAAGUUUUCGGUUAAAUCUAUGCGCUUAACGUAUAGGCUGCCGAAAAUACUGGACAGCUAGGGAGUGGGAGAGGUACACGGUACUCAAUAGGAAGGGGUAAAAUCCUUUGAUCUGUUGAUGACCACCUGUGGCGAAGGCGGUGUACCAGAACACGUUCGACGGUGAGGGAUGAAAGCUGGGGGAGCAAACCGGAUUAGAUACCCGGGUAGUCCCAGCUGUAAACGAUGCAAACUCGGUGAUGCAUUGGCUUGUGGCCAAUGCGGUGCCGCAGGGAAGCCGUUAAGUUUGCCGCCUGGGAAGUACGUACGCAAGUAU